UGGUGUUUUACUAAGACUCAAGACAUCUGAUCCACUAAUGUCCUCAAGUUUCUGCCAAGGUGACAUCAUAAUGACCACAGAUGGUCCUUUGGGAGAUGGAUAUCACUUACUCAGGAAGAGAAUGCAGUAUAUUUUCAGCUCAGAUUUCUUAGCAACAUAAGGAAUUAAUUUGGAAACCUGUGUCCCCAAUGGCACUCCUAGUGACCCUCAAAUGGACCCUAAUGCCAUCCUUUGAGAUGAAAGAGGGACUCUCAAAAACUGACCCUCUCUCAACUCUUGCCCAGCUCCUGGCACAAGUAAAUAGCUAAGUGCACAUUUAUGUUUUAUCACAGCGUGAAGGGCAUUUGGGGCAAAAACCAUAUAUUUGAAGCAAUUUAGAAACUCAUCUUAGGCAAUUUGCCAGAGAGUUAAAACAUUAAACAAUUCCUUCUAGGUGUUCCAUAUCAUCACUUACUGUUUUAGCAAUGAAGUCGAUGGAGGAUUGCAAGGCUCCCUCUGCUCCUAUCUCCCAGUUGCUCAUUCUCUCUUUCAAAAUAAAUGAAAUAAACUUUUAAAAAAUU